UACGGAGGGGACUAGCGUUGUUCGGAAUUACUGGGCGUAAAGCGCGCGUAGGCGGAUUUGUAAGUCGGGGGUGAAAUCCCGGGGCUCAACCUCGGAACUGCCUUCGAUACUGCAAAUCUCGAGUCCGGAAGAGGUGAGUGGAAUUCCUGGUGUAGAGGUGAAAUUCGUAGAUAUUAGGAAGAACACCAGUGGCGAAGGCGGCUCACUGGUCCGGUACUGACGCUGAGGCGAGAAAGCGUGGGGAGCAAACAGG
rnacentral:rRNA from 1 species